UACAGAGGGUGCGAGCGUUGUCCGGAAUCACUGGGCGUAAAGGGCGCGUAGGUGGCCCGACAAGUCAGUGGUGAAAGCUCGACGCUUAACGUCGAGUCGGCCACUGAUACUGUUGGGCUGGAGCACUGUAGAGGCAGAUGGAAUUCCGGGUGUAGCGGUGGAAUGCGUAGAGAUCCGGAAGAACACCGGUGGCGAAGGCGGUCUGCUGGGCAGUAGCUGACACUGAGGCGCGACAGCGUGGGGAGCAAACAGG
rnacentral:rRNA from 1 species